AAAAAUAAAUAAAUGUAGUGAGAUUUCAAAAGGUUUGGAUCUAUAAAGUAUUUGACCUAGAUGAUUGUAAAUGUAUUGUUGAGGAUACAAAUGAGUCACGGUUUGUAAGUUAUUUUUUGCAAAAUUUGUACUUUUUUAUUGUUUAUUUAUGCACCAUUUUUGCUCUAUUUUUUCGAAAGUGUAUGUUCAGAAACUAAAUCUACAUUAAUUAUGGUUUUUACCAUAAGUUAAAAUAGAAAAGAUAAUUAUAAUUGCACAGUUAUUAAUUAUAAUGGCUUAACUAGAAGAAAUCGAUAUAUAAAUAUUAAUAUCUAAAUUAAUAUGUACCAUGUAUUCAUUUCUACAUUAAAAAUAUAAAAAUUUACAAAAUGUAUAUGCAUGAUGCAUUGAUGGUUAUUUUUAAGUUCUUAAUUCUUAAAGUUAUGUGUUAAAUUUUCUUUUUGAUUCAACCGCAGUCCUAUGUUAAACUUAAUACCUUGAUUAUAACAAUAAAUACCUUAUAACCAUGUUUCUAAGUUGUUUCCUUGUAAAUGUGCUCAACAAAAAAACCGUUUUUGUUUUCUUUUUCCAUACACACUCAAGUAUCUAAAAUCAAAGCCUAUGUUUCCAUUGACUCUAUGUAACUCCGAAGAUAUUAACAGUGCAAUAACCUUGCUUAACUAAAUAAGUUUAUGAAUCCAAUCAUUGCUUGUAUCCACUAACCUUUGUUUCUUCAUCAUGCACCGAUCAUUCCUAUAGAAUCCCAUCAAACAUCACAAAAUCCUUGGACACACAUCCCUUGACAUCUAAUUCUAAUCCAUUUUAAAGGUGUACUCAAUUCAUAUUUUUUAAAAUUUUAUUAAUUUUAAAUUCUAGAAUUAUAUAAAUUUAAUUGUUUUUAAAAUUGUUUUAGAAAUGGAUGAUUUUUUUAAUACUGUUUAUUAAUUGGAAUAUUUUUUGAAUAAUGAUUAUUAAGAUAAUAAUAAUUUUUUCUUUUGAGAGAUUUCAAACAAAAAAAUUAAUUAGGAGAAUUUCGUGAAGAUGACACAUUAGUAUGAAGCUAGGAUUUUGUUUAGGGUUACCAUCAUGACAACCUUAAAUUUAUAUUAAGUAGAUAAUAUUUAAUAUAUGUAUUUACCUUUAACUUAAAAGUUAUAACAAUAAACUAUAUACGAGAUAAAUCAAAAACUACAAUUCCUUAAAUUUUUCAAUUAACACAAAAAAGUCUUCCUUGAAUGUUUCAAAAUACCCUACAAAUAUUCCUUAAAUAUUUCACAACAUAUAACAAACUUUAUUUUCUUAUAUAAAUAUAGUUGUUGUGCUUACACCCAACACAUUCUUUUUCUAAGUUAUCAUAUUUUAUAAAUCCAAAACCUUUUGCAAUCCAUAUAUAAAAAUAAAUAAAUGUAGUGAGAUUUCAAAAGGUUUGGAUCUAUAAAGUAUUUGACCUAGAUGAUUGUAAAUGUAUUGUUGAGGAUACAAAUGAGUCACGGUUUGUAAGUUAUUUUUUGCAAAAUUUGUACUUUUUUAUUGUUUAUUUAUGCACCAUUUUUGCUCUAUUUUUUCGAAAGUGUAUGUUCAGAAACUAAAUCUACAUUAAUUAUGGUUUUUACCAUAAGUUAAAAUAGAAAAGAUAAUUAUAAUUGCACAGUUAUUAAUUAUAAUGGCUUAACUAGAAGAAAUCGAUAUAUAAAUAUUAAUAUCUAAAUUAAUAUGUACCAUGUAUUCAUUUCUACAUUAAAAAUAUAAAAAUUUACAAAAUGUAUAUGCAUGAUGCAUUGAUGGUUAUUUUUAAGUUCUUAAUUCUUAAAGUUAUGUGUUAAAUUUUCUUUUUGAUUCAACCGCAGUCCUAUGUUAAACUUAAUACCUUGAUUAUAACAAUAAAUACCUUAUAACCAUGUUUCUAAGUUGUUUCCUUGUAAAUGUGCUCAACAAAAAAACCGUUUUUGUUUUCUUUUUCCAUACACACUCAAGUAUCUAAAAUCAAAGCCUAUGUUUCCAUUGACUCUAUGUAACUCCGAAGAUAUUAACAGUGCAAUAACCUUGCUUAACUAAAUAAGUUUAUGAAUCCAAUCAUUGCUUGUAUCCACUAACCUUUGUUUCUUCAUCAUGCACCGAUCAUUCCUAUAGAAUCCCAUCAAACAUCACAAAAUCCUUGGACACACAUCCCUUGACAUCUAAUUCUAAUCCAUUUUAAAGGUGUACUCAAUUCAUAUUUUUUAAAAUUUUAUUAAUUUUAAAUUCUAGAAUUAUAUAAAUUUAAUUGUUUUUAAAAUUGUUUUAGAAAUGGAUGAUUUUUUUAAUACUGUUUAUUAAUUGGAAUAUUUUUUGAAUAAUGAUUAUUAAGAUAAUAAUAAUUUUUUCUUUUGAGAGAUUUCAAACAAAAAAAUUAAUUAGGAGAAUUUCGUGAAGAUGACACAUUAGUAUGAAGCUAGGAUUUUGUUUAGGGUUACCAUCAUGACAACCUUAAAUUUAUAUUAAGUAGAUAAUAUUUAAUAUAUGUAUUUACCUUUAACUUAAAAGUUAUAACAAUAAACUAUAUACGAGAUAAAUCAAAAACUACAAUUCCUUAAAUUUUUCAAUUAACACAAAAAAGUCUUCCUUGAAUGUUUCAAAAUACCCUACAAAUAUUCCUUAAAUAUUUCACAACAUAUAACAAACUUUAUUUUCUUAUAUAAAUAUAGUUGUUGUGCUUACACCCAACACAUUCUUUUUCUAAGUUAUCAUAUUUUAUAAAUCCAAAACCUUUUGCAAUCCAUAUAUAAAAAUAAAUAAAUGUAGUGAGAUUUCAAAAGGUUUGGAUCUAUAAAGUAUUUGACCUAGAUGAUUGUAAAUGUAUUGUUGAGGAUACAAAUGAGUCACGGUUUGUAAGUUAUUUUUUGCAAAAUUUGUACUUUUUUAUUGUUUAUUUAUGCACCAUUUUUGCUCUAUUUUUUCGAAAGUGUAUGUUCAGAAACUAAAUCUACAUUAAUUAUGGUUUUUACCAUAAGUUAAAAUAGAAAAGAUAAUUAUAAUUGCACAGUUAUUAAUUAUAAUGGCUUAACUAGAAGAAAUCGAUAUAUAAAUAUUAAUAUCUAAAUUAAUAUGUACCAUGUAUUCAUUUCUACAUUAAAAAUAUAAAAAUUUACAAAAUGUAUAUGCAUGAUGCAUUGAUGGUUAUUUUUAAGUUCUUAAUUCUUAAAGUUAUGUGUUAAAUUUUCUUUUUGAUUCAACCGCAGUCCUAUGUUAAACUUAAUACCUUGAUUAUAACAAUAAAUACCUUAUAACCAUGUUUCUAAGUUGUUUCCUUGUAAAUGUGCUCAACAAAAAAAAUCGCUUUUGUU
rnacentral:lncRNA from 1 species